GAGUCAAAAUUUUUAAUGCAAUUACUUUAUAGCAGCAUUAACUGGUUUCUUCACUACAUUUCUCCAGAAACCUUAACAAAAAGCGCGUCCUGUAUACACACACAUACACAUAAACGUUUUCCUCUUCUUAAUUUUACAUUUUCUCGGUCACCAAAAUGAUAAACCAGUGUAAAUUUCAACACCCAAGAACACAAAAAUAAC
rnacentral:misc_RNA from 1 species